UUAGAGGAAGUAAAAGUCGUAACAAGGUUUCCGUAGGUGAACCUGCGGAAGGAUCAUUAGUGAAACAUCGUCGGCUGUGCGCCUUCGGGCCGCACGCCGUCGCUCCACACAUUUGUGCACCUUCGACGGGAGGGGGAGACCUCUCUCGUCGCUUCAUUAACAAGUCAGUCUCGAAUGUAAACACAUCAUAAAAAAUACAACUUUCAGCAACGGAUCUCUUGGCUCUCGCAUCGAUGAAGAACGCAGCGAAAUGCGAUAAGUAAUGUGAAUUGCAGAAUUCAGUGAAUCAUCGAAUCUUUGAACGCACCUUGCGCCCUGUGGCUUUCCACAGGGCACGCCCGUUCGAGUGUCACGUUAACCCUCGCCAGCGGUACGGCAACGUAUCGUGAAGCGGAUUUGGACGCUGCCGGUCGUGAGAUCGGCUCGUCUCGAAAUGCAUUAGCGAAGUGCGAAGCACGUGCGACGUUGAUAAUUGUCUACGCCUCGCGGACUUUGCUCCUCGCUUCUAAUCGUCGUGAGACAAUCAUCAAAGUUUGACCUCGAAUCGGGUGGGACUACCCGCUGAACUUAAGCAUAUCAAUAAGCGGAGGAA
rnacentral:rRNA from 1 species